CGGAACGGGUGAGUAACGCGUGAGGAACCUGCCUCAAAGAGGGGGACAACAGUUGGAAAUGACUGCUAAUACCGCAUAAGCGCACAGUACCGCAUGGUACGGUGUGAAAAACUCCGGUGGUGUGAGAUGGAUCCGCGUCUGAUUAGCCAGUUGGCGGGGUAACGGCCCACCAAAGCGACGAUCAGUAGCCGACCUGAGAGGGUGACCGGCCACAUUGGGACUGAGACACGGCCCAA
rnacentral:rRNA from 1 species